GAAGAAGAGGCGUGAACCACACACUUCAUGCCUCCUGGGUUUCAUGUCUGGGGCAGGAAAGGCUUCUAGGGUGAAGUCAGACCUGACCUCGGCGAAGGAACAGCUGAAGCUUCUAGAAUGUGGUCAGACCUGAGCGGCAAGGUGGUGCUCACAAAGAAUCCUUCCAAGGGCUUCCCAUCAAAAACCGGUCAAUUUCCUCCAGUCUUCCAGCCCAUCCUAGCUCUGAGUAGUCCUCGCCUGGAUUUCACGUCUCUGUUACCACUCUCCUGAGAGCAGGGCCUCUUUCUUCUUCAUGGUCAGGUUCAGGUGAGCACCCACUGGACAUCGGAUGAAAGGAUACGAAGGGAAGAAAGAAGGGACGCAAGAUGUUUAAGGCAAGGCUGGCUGGCACCAGCAGGAAUGGCUACAAGGUCACAGUGGUUUGACAGGGAGCCAGAUGUUUUCUCAAG
rnacentral:lncRNA from 1 species